AACGAACGCUGGCGGCAGGCCUAACACAUGCAAGUCGAGCGCACCCUUCGGGGUGAGCGGCGGACGGGUGAGUAACACGUGGGAACGUACCCAUUCCUGCGGGAUAGCCACUGGAAACGGUGAGUAAUACCGCAUACGCCCUUCGGGGGAAAGAUUUAUCGGGGAUGGAUCGGCCCGCGUCUGAUUAGGUAGUUGGUGGGGUAAUGGCCUACCAAGCCUACGAUCAGUAGCUGGUUUGAGAGGAUGAUCAGCCACACUGGGACUGAGACACGGCCCAGACUCCUACGGGAGGCAGCAGUGGGGAAUCUUAGACAAUGGGGGCAACCCUGAUCUAGCCAUGCCGCGUGAGUGACGAAGGUCUUAGGAUCGUAAAGCUCUUUCGCCGGGGAAGAUAAUGACUGUACCCGGUAAAGAAGUCCCGGCUAACUCCG
rnacentral:rRNA from 1 species